GACGAACGCUGGCGGCGUGCUUAACACAUGCAAGUCGAGCGGUAAGGCCCUUUCGGGGGUACACGAGCGGCGAACGGGUGAGUAACACGUGGGUGACCUGCCCUCAGCUCUGGGAUAAGCCUGGGAAACCGGGUCUUAAUACUGGAUAUGACUCCAUGACGCAUGUUGUGGGGUGGAAAGCCCUGUGCGGCUGAGGAUGGGCCCGCGGCCUAUCAGCUUGUUGGUGGGGUGANGGCCUACCAAGGCGACGACGGGUAGCCGGCCUGAGAGGGCGACCGGCCACACUGGGACUGAGACACGGCCCAGACUCCUACGGGAGGCAGCAGUGGGGAAUCUUGCGCAAUGGGCGAAAGCCUGACGCAGCGACGCCGCGUGAGGGAUGACGGCCU
rnacentral:rRNA from 1 species